rnacentral:lncRNA from 1 species
AUGCCUGUAAUCUCCAUGAUCCCAAAGUUAGCUUGCGGUUCUUUGCUCUUCCUGCAAAGCAGAGGUACACAUAAGCAGGUCCAUAAGUAAUUGCUCAUAUGAGAAGCUAUGUUACUAAUGUACAAUGAUUAUAAAUAUACAAGUAUUUUGUUUCAAAAGUAAAUAAAUUGCAUAGAUUUUUAAAGGUCCCUUCUAGCUAAGAACAUUGAACCAUCAAGGACAAACAAAUUCUAGCA